rnacentral:rRNA from 1 species
GACGAACGCUGGCGGCGUGCUUAACACAUGCAAGUCGAACGGAAAGGCCCUGCUUUUGUGGGGUGCUCGAGUGGCGAACGGGUGAGUAACACGUGAGUAACCUGCCCUUGACUUUGGGAUAACUUCAGGAAACUGGGGCUAAUACCGGAUAGGAGCUCCUGCUGCAUGGUGGGGGUUGGAAAGUUUCGGCGGUUGGGGAUGGACUCGCGGCUUAUCAGCUUGUUGGUGGGGUAGUGGCUUACCAAGGCUUUGACGGGUAGCCGGCCUGAGAGGGUGACCGGCCACAUUGGGACUGAGAUACGGCCCAGACUCCUACGGGAGGCAGCAGUGGGGAAUAUUGCACAAUGGGCGGAAGCCUGAUGCAGCAACGCCGCGUGCGGGAUGACGGCCUUCGGGUUGUAAACCGCUUUCGCCUGUGACGAAGCGUGAGUGACGGUAAUGGGUAGAGAAGCACUGGCUAACUACGUG